AACAAACAUGAAAAAUGUUAGAAUUCAAACCCGGCUCAAAGCAAUGCAGUAGAGACAAACAUUCUCAAAUACUGGACAUUGGGAUUAAUUAUUAGAAACAUAAAAUGGAAGCUGGGUUUUAUAAAAUACAUUGCAGUCAAGUGUAGAAAAUAAAAGAGCAGCAGCUUGGUCAAAUAAACAGCUGGGGUUUAUAGAUAUAAUAGAAGCAGUAAUAUCAAUGCAAGAAAAUAAAGAGGGUCAAUUGUGGUGUGCUGAAAAUAUAAACAAGCAUCCUAAUAUAAGCUGUUGGUACUUGGUAUAAGAUCAGAAGGUGGCGAAAUAGGUGAACUACAACAGCUCCAGGAAUCAAGGUUUUAAAGAAUGGUAGCUGUGCAUGGGAGAAAUAAAAGGUGGCUGUGCAUGAGAACAGAAGAAAAUAUAGUAGGUUCUCAUGGUCAAAAUAACAGGCUGCAGGUUGUAAUAAUGUCCUUAAAAUAUGGUAGGCUAUUAAUAUGUAUAAGGAUAAAAAUGUGAGGUGUGCAGUGAUGUUAGAAUGUGAACUUAAAGCCUAUAUAUAAGUCUGUCCAUCUGUAGUAGAUAACACACUGAGUGAAACUACAACAGCAGUUGUAGAGAGAAAUUUAGAAGAGCUGAAGCUCUGAGUGAAAAGGCCGCGUGCCAUCUCUGUGUGUAACAAGAAAGGCUGAAGCCUAGCUAGCGUGUGUAGCAAAUUAUAAGUAGUGUAGCUGCGUGUUACAUUAAUAUACAAGUUGUGUGUGUUUGUAUCCUAAUAUAUCGGAAGUUUUUGGUUUAAGGCCCAUACACGUUUCCAACAAGUGGCAUCAGAGCCGAGGUUUCGUUCGAGAAAAAGAAUGGUAAGUUUCCUGGAAGCCCAAGUUCCAAUGUUGACGGGCACAAAUUAUGGAGACUGGAGUAUCCAAAUGAAGGAAUUACUCCAUUUUUAUGAUGUUUGGGAUAUAGUCGAAAGAGGGUAUGAUGAGUUCACAUCAGCGGCUGAAGUAGCUCUGUCAGAAGCCGAGAAGACGACAUUAAAUGGGUGCAGGAGCAAAAAUAACAAGGCAUGUUUCAUGAUUUAUCAAGGUGUCGACGAAUUAACCUUUGAUAAUAUUGCACAUGAAAAAAAAGCAAAAGACGCCUGGGAGAUUCUGCAGAAAUCAUUCCGAGGAGUUGAUAAAGAAGAAGAGGUGGAGCCUCAAGUAUUGCAUGGCGAGUUCAAGAAUAUGAAAAUGAAAAAUUCUGAAAAUAUUGAAGAAAAUGUUACGCGUUUGAAAACGGUGACAAAUGAGAUGAAAAGAAAUGGGGAAAGUCUGGAUGAUGUUCGGGUCAUGGAAAAGUUGCUCCGUUCAUUGACAAGAAAAUUUGAUUAUGUUGUAACUACGUUAGAGGAGUCGAAAGAUUGGUCCAGAAUUUCUAUUGAAGAGCUUGUAUGUUUGUUCCAAGACCACGAGCUGCAGAUGAAUCGUUAUGAUGAAGAAAUUAGCAGUUUGGAGAAUAUGGUGCAAUGGAAAGUGUUUGAUAAUAGGAGUCCUAGUAGUGGCAUUAUUAAUAUUUCAGGGGAAGCGCCAAGGUAUAUGCUGAGUCCAGAUAAUAUCUACAAACCAACAAGUCUGAUACAAACAAUCAUUGAUGAUUUAGUGUCUUGUUUCAAGGCAACCGACGAAAGCAACAAAAUUCCAGAAUCUGUGCAUCAGAAAAUUGCAGGACGAGUUAACUACACGCCCAAAGAAAUUCUAGAUGAUAUAUUCAUGAAGUCAUUGAAGUGGGGCAUCUUUCACAAAGCGAAAGAAAAGCUCGGUAUGCAAAGCUGGGUUUGAGGGGGAGUGUUAGAAUUCAAACCCGGCUCAAAGCAAUGCAGUAGAGACAAAUAUUCUCAAAUACUGGACAUUGGGAUUAAUUAUCAGAAACAUAAAAUGGAAGCUGGGUUUUAUAAAAUACAUUGCAGUCAAGUGUAGAAAAUAAAAGAGCAGCAGCUUGGUCAAAUAAACAGCUGGGGUUUAUAGAUAUAAUAGAAGCAGUAAUAUCAAUGCAAGAAAAUAAAGAGGGUCAAUUGUGGUGUGCUGAAAAUAUAAACAAGCAUCCUAAUAUAAGCUGUUGGUACUUGGUAUAAGAUCGGAAGGUGGCGAAAUAGGUGAACUACAACAGCUCCAGGAAUCAAGGUUUUAAAGAAUGGUAGCUGUGCAUGGGAGAAAUAAAAGGUGGCUGUGCAUGAGAACAGAAGAAAAUAUAGUAGGUUCUCAUGGUCAAAAUAACAGGCUGCAGGUUGUAAUAAUGUCCUUAAAAUAUGGUAGGCUAUUAAUAUGUAUAAGGAUAAAAAUGUGAGGUGUGCAGUGAUGUUAGAAUGUGAACUUAAAGCCUAUAUAUAAGUCUGUCCAUCUGUAGUAGAUAACACACUGAGUGAAACUACAACAGCAGUUGUAGAGAGAAAUUUAGAAGAGCUGAAGCUCUGAGUGAAAAGGCCGCGUGCCAUCUCUGUGUGUAACAAGAAAGGCUGAAGCCUAGCUAGCGUGUGUAGCAAAUUAUAAGUAGUGUAGCUGCGUGUUACAUUAAUAUACAAGUUGUGUGUGUUUGUAUCCUAAUAUAUCGGAAGUUUUUGGUUUAAGGCCCAUACACGUUUCCAACAAAAAACCCAUCAUAGUUCUCAUUAAAUAUAAAUCAUUUUUACACACAUUCAUCCAUCAUGUCUAUUCCUCCUACAUGAUUAGUACUACAAAUACAUAAUCAAGCCAAGGAUUUUGCACAACAAAAAAAACAUACAAACAGAGUGUGUGUUUAUGUGUGUUUACUGUAUAUAGAGACAACAUCAGUAAUAAACAUGGGAAAAGGACAGGUGGGAACAUAAGCUUACCUUGUAAUAAGCGAUGCUGCUGAGGAAUUGGCGUCGAGUCUGUAGAAGUAUGAAGCAAUCCCCCUAAAGAGUUUAUGAUUCUGUUGGGAAUGGGAAGACAUGUGUAACGACGUCGUUGCGAUGCACUUAGGAUGGACUGGACUUGUUAUUGGUCUUUAUGAAUUUGUGAUGGGCUGCUCUUGAAGUGAGCUGAUCUGCUCACAAUUAUUGUUUUCUCAGCUAAUUAGCCCUUGUUAGUUUUUGAUUAUUUUUAUUAUUAAAAGCACAAUUUCUGUUUUU
rnacentral:lncRNA from 1 species